GCCUCUUUGAAAUGUGGAUUUUGGACAUUGAACUAAGAAGGAUCAUGUGGAAUGAAAUGGUAUUCUGUGUCUCAGAUUCUAACAAUGGAAUCCUAUGAUGAGUUGAAAACUUGGCAGGAAGAAACUUUGCUUCAGGAUUUACUCUGACAUGUGCAAAUUUAUCUGUAAGGACCCCACGUCAUGGAAUGAUGACAUCUGCAUUUAGAGUACAUCUCAUCUCAGUAAGCUGUCUGGAAACAUUUCCUGCACAGACACAACCUUUUGCCUUUUGGAUGAUUUCUAGCCAUGCCAAACUGAUAAUCAAAAUCAACUAUCACAGUGACUGAUGAGGAGUAAUAUUGUUGGGUUCCUAUGGUAAAUAGGAUGGACUGGCGGCUGGUCUUGGCUUGUUUAUGGAGCUCGCAGUGCAAC